AGUGAACGCUGGCGGCGUGCCUAAUACAUGCAAGUCGAACGAAGUGGCGCACGGGUGAGUAAUAUAUAGUUAAUCUGCCCUACACAGAGGAACAACAGGUGGAAACGACUGCUAAUACCUCCUAGGGUAGGAUGAGACUAUAUCGUAUCAGCUAGUUGGUAAGGUAAUCGCGUACCAAGGCUAUGACGCGUAACUGGUCUGAGAGGAUGAUCAGUCACAUUGGAACGGAGGCACAGGCGAGACUCCUACGAGAGGGGGCAGAAACGGAUAGUGCGCAAUGGGGGGAGCCCAGACGGAGCUACGCCGCGUGGAGGAUGAUACUUUUCGGGGCGUAGACUCAUUUUAUCAAGAUAGCGGUACCUAAUGAAUAAGCACCGGCUAACUCCGUGCCAGCAGCCGCGGUAAUUC
rnacentral:rRNA from 1 species